GCAACAAUGUGUUUUACUCACAGGGUAAUGAUGUGUUGUGUUACUCAUAGGGUAACAAUGUGUUUUACUCGCAGGUAUGAUAUGUUGUUUUACUCAUAUGGUAAUGUGUUGUUGUACUCACACAGUAAUGUGUACCUGUAGUUUUACUCACAUGGCAGUGUGUUGUUUUACUCAAAUGGUAAUGUGUUUUAACUCAGUGUAAUGAUGUAUUGUUUUACUCAAAGGGUCAUGAUGUGUUGUCUUACUCACAUGGUAAUGUGUUGUCUUACUCACAUAGUAAUGUGUUUCUACUCAAAGUGUAACAACGUGUUGUUUUAUUCACAGUCCAAUGAUGUGUCAUGUGAACACGACUUGAUAAAGAAACUCACAGACCUGAUGACUCCGAAGGAUCCCUUUCACAAAGCUCCAUGUAGUCCAGAUGGAGAGACGGCUUGACGAAUGCACGGAUGGCUUGACGGACGGACAGAAUGACAGUUUCCUCACCGAGUUACCUGUGACCAGUAGAUGAUGACUUGUGGCAGUCAGUUGACAUGGAAGGAUGACGUGUGGUCAUUCUUCACAUUCACCAACACAAUAUUUCCAUAAAUGGGGAAACCAGCAACGCUGAACUGCAAAAUGAUAAAUAUUUGUUUUUGUCACAUUCAGAAUACAUUAAAUCUCUGUAUGUUACCCUCAUCAUGAUUAUGAACGCCUGUGAUAUUUUUUCUCACAUUCAGAAGUAUAAUAUACCCUUUUUUAUAAACAUUAUAAGAGAGAGAGAGAGAGAGAGAGAGAGAGAGAGAGAGAGAGAGAGAGAGAGAGAGAGAGAGAGAGAGAGAGAGAGAGAGAGAAAGAAAAUACUGAACUGAUUUUGGAUGUGAAAAAAACUGAACUGCAAAAUAAUGGAUGUAUAAAUUAUUCCUUCUUAAUAUUUGUGUGUAAAGUGUAAUAAAAAAAUCAAUUUGC